AAGACCUUGCGCUUUUGGAGCGGCCGAUGCCUGAUUAGCUUGUUGGUAAGGUAAAAGCUUACCAAGGCUUCGAUCAGUAGCUGGUCUGAGAGGACGGCCAGCCACACUGGGACUGAGACACGGCCCAGACUCCUACGGGAGGCAGCAGUGGGGAAUUUUGGACAAUGGGGGCAACCCUGAUCCAGCCAUGCCGCGUGAGUGAAGAAGGCCUUCGGGUUGUAAAGCUCUUUCAGCCGGAACGAAACGGUUACGGUUAAUACCCGUGAUUACUGACGGUACCGGAAGAAGAAGCACCGGCUAACUACGUGCUAGCAGCCGCGGUAAUACGUAGGGUGCGAGCGUUAAUCGGAAUUACUGGGCGUAAAGCGUGCGCAGGUGGUUUUGUAAGUCAGAUGUGAAAGCCCCGGGCUCAACCUGGGAACU
rnacentral:rRNA from 1 species